rnacentral:rRNA from 1 species
AGAGUUUGAUCCUGGCUCAGAACGAACGCUGGCGGCAGGCUUAACACAUGCAAGUCGAACGCAUCCUUCGGGGUGAGUGGCAGACGGGUGAGUAACGCGUGGGAACGUGCCCUUCAGUUCGGAAUAACCCAGGGAAACUUGGGCUAAUACCGGAUACGUGCGAGAGCAGAAAGAUUUAUCGCUGAAGGAUCGGCCCGCGUCUGAUUAGCUAGUUGGUGAGGUAAUGGCUCACCAAGGCGACGAUCAGUAGCUGGUCUGAGAGGAUGAUCAGCCACAUUGGGACUGAGACACGGCCCAAACUCCUACGGGAGGCAGCAGUGGGGAAUAUUGGACAAUGGGCGCAAGCCUGAUCCAGCCAUGCCGCGUGAGUGAUGAAGGCCUUAGGGUUGUAAAGCUCUUUCGUCCGGGACGAUAAUGACGGUACCGGAAGAAGAAGCCCCGGCUAACUUCGUGCCAGCAGCCGCGGUAAUACGAAGGGGGCUAGCGUUGUUCGGAAUCACUGGGCGUAAAGGGCGCGUAGGCGGCUUGAUAAGUCGGGGGUGAAAGCCUGUGGCUCAACCACAGAAUUGCCUUCGAUACUGUCUGGCUUGAGACCGGAAGAGGUAAGUGGAACUGCGAGUGUAGAGGUGAAAUUCGUAGAUAUUCGCAAGAACACCAGUGGCGAAGGCGGCUUACUGGCUCGACACUGACGCUGAGGUGCGAAAGCGUGGGGAGCAAACAGGAUUAGAUACCCUAGUAGUCC